rnacentral:sRNA from 1 species
UAACAAAUAACGCGGAGGCCCGGGAGGA